rnacentral:lncRNA from 1 species
UACAAUGAUUCCUUCACAUUUCCUAUAGGACCAAGAGGAGUACCUGGAGAUCAGAAUGCAGUAAGAAGAAGGAGAAGUCAGCAAUAACAAAGCAAACAAUAACAGUUGGAGUUCAAAUAGCAACAACCACAACCAGUUUCACCCUAGAGAUGAAUCAUUUAUCCAGAAAUGUUUUAAAUCAAACUGAACUGAGAGAUCAACACAAAACAACACCAAAAUAAACCAAAAGAACUUGAAAAUGAACCCAGAAACACACUCUGAAAAGUCAGCAACCAAACACCAAGAUUUUCAAGCUAUUUUCCUCUUUAAACUAGCCAGAGAUUCGAGACAAUUGCUAAAAAGCUGGAAAAGUGAUCUAAGGACUCAAUGUAACAGUUUUUUUUUAUGUCUUCCUAUAGCUUUUGUGUAUUUGUUUUUUGAGAUUUUCAGAUGAAAAGAGAUUUUCGAAUUCCAGAUCUGGUUUUUUGAUUUUCAAUUCAAAUUUCAGUUUGUGGAGACCUAGGGAAUUUUUGGAGGAAUUUUAGAUGUUGAAAAACUUCUGAGUGAAGGAAAUGGCAUGCCUUUUUAUAUGCACAAAUGAGGGCUCUAUCAGAUUUUCUAGUUUCUAUUUAGUCCCUCUUUAUUUUUCAGACUUUAGAUACUUAGUCCCUUAUUUAUUGACUUACUUAGUCCCUUAUUUAUUGACUUACUCAAGUCACUACACCUAUUUUUUGAAUUUCAAUCUUAAAACCCAUUCUAGAAAGUCCUAGGGCAUUCCAUUUCAGUUUUUGAAAUAUUCUUAUACCGAAAAUGCGUAAGCUACCCCUUUAUUUGAUCUGAAAUUAAUGACUAGCUUAACUAAAACCUCAACCCCUUUUUAUCCCAGAUAUUGUUAACCAUGUUAACUAUUCUAACCCUCAUAACCGACCAUGGUUAAUUAAUCUACAAGACUAGGAGCUAAUCAACUAUAUCCAAAAAAUUAGACUAAUUGAAAUUAACUGAAGUAAACUAAUUGAAAUUAAAAUAAUUAUAUAAACUAAAAAAUUAACUGAAAUAUACACAAUUAUACUAAAGUAACAAAUUUAACUACAAAUCCUAAAUCUAAUUAACUACUAAAUUGAAGAUUGCACACUACUUCAGAAAAAAAAGAAAUUCAACAUUGGUAAACAGAGAAAAAAUCAAGGAACAAUCAGAAAUACUAAUCACAAUAUUACGAUAAACUAAUCAAACUAUGGCCAAACGACAUUCAAACAAUUAACUUUGCAGAACCAGACUCCUAAUUGAAAACUAAUGCCACAAGUCAUAACUUAAACAGAAAAAUCGAAAUGAACAAACUUAAACCAGAACAUGCUAUUAGCAGGAACAAAUAGCAAAUUAACACCUAAAUCCUAAGAAAAAUAGGAAAGUGAAAUAAGCAGGCACAACUUAUUGAACAUGAAAGCAAUACAAGGUCAAAGAGAAACAAAUAGAUUAGACGAGACAGAAAAACAAAAUGGAUUCGACUGGUUUAGACCCGAUAUGAAUGGAGAUAAACAGAACACUUAAGAAGACUCACCAAUUUGACCUCGAACUCAGACCUUCGAACUCGGAGUUGAUAUCCACCCGAUUGACUUCAAAUACGGCUUCUAAAUAAUAUUAUAUGUCCAUUAUUGACAAAACAAACAUGUAAUAGUAUUCGGAACCGAAUGAAAACAGAUGUAAUUUGAAACCCUAGAUCUAAAAUAUGAAGAGUUUAAAGCGAAUUUGAAGGGUUUUGGGUAAAGGAGGUUAUGGAAAACCUAGGGUAUGAUUUUUGUGAGAUUUGGAAGACUUUAGGUUUUUUGACUGGAAUUUCGAUUUAAGAUUCAAAGAAUUCUGAAACGAAUCGAGAGGAGUGGAGUUGAUAUUUGGCAUGAGGGGAGGGAAAUGGUCCUAGGGUGUUAAUUUUGUGGGGGUUGGCGUUGGCGCCGCCACCCCAAGGCGGUUGGAACAACUCAUGAUUUUGCCUGACUUGAUUCCCUCUUCUACUAGCUCCCCCAUUUUUAACACAUCAUUGAAAGGCUUUCCCAAGGCCGGGAUCAAAUGAUUGAAGUAGGUCGGCCCCUAGGCUUGUAGGAAAAGCUGAACCAUUUCUUUUUCACUAAUCGGGGUAUUGACUUGAGCAGCUUGCUCCUUCCAUCUGAGCCCAAACUCCCUAAAGUUUUCCUCCGGCUUCUUUUCCAUAUUAGAUAGGGAUGAGCGGUCUAGGGUAACACCUCAUCCAUAUUGAAAGUAUGGAACAAAAUCUUGAGACAUGUCACCCAAUGUAGGUCACUUACCAACAUCUUGAUGAUCAUGCCACUCCAAAGAAGCCCCGAUCAAGAUCCUACUGAAAUAGGCCAUCAACAAGUCAUCUUUCUCUCCAACACUUUUCAUUUCACUACAAUAAACCCUCAGGUGAGCUAUCGGAUCUCCACCCCCAUCAUACAAGUUAAAUUUUGGCAAUUUAAACCACACAAACAGGCAAACAUCAAGGGACACAGACAGUUCUUUGUAAGCCAAUCUACCCUGGUCUCCCAUUUCUUGCUUGUUCUUUAAGGACUAUUUUAUGCCUUUUAGCCUCUUGGGUAUCCCAUCUCGCCCUUCUCUUCCUGUGACCUUUUCAUUUUCAGCUUGAAGCUCAUCCCAAUGGCUCUUCUUGUAUAAGUCAGGAACCUUGUGGGCAACUUAUAAGGGGUAAUAUUGGGUAUCAUGAUAUUUGAGUGGGUAUUUAUUGUUGGGGAUAAUGGAUGUAAUAGGAGGGAACGUUUGGGAAAAGAUAGUUAUAGGACGAGUGAUGGAGCUACUAGGUGUCGUUCCCCCUUUUUCUUAAAGCGGAAUCGAGUUUAUGACAUUUGGGAGGACAACUCGUUCCUUUUUGGGAAUUGGGUUUUGAAUUGAAGAGUCGCCACCUGAUGAUUAAAGUGAAUUAGGACACUAAGAAGGGUUCGAGUUGGAGAACCAGAAUUUGGGUAAGGGCUAGAAAUUAUCUCGAGGGGGAAAGGUAUUAGGAACCCCCCAAGAUCCACUAGUGUGGUUCCCGACCAUGUUAUAAUUGUGACUUCACAUAGAAAGUAAGCAAAUAGGGCUCAAAUAGAAGGAGUUUUCAAAAUAAAUGAAAACAGUUAAAAGGGGAGGGGGUCCUAAGUUUAUGAUUAAUAUGGAUCACAUAAAUGCAAUACCCAGUAAUCACUCCUCAGAAGAGGGGCUACAUGAGGUAUUAGCACACCGGUCAUCAUAUCCAUAUCUACCCUUCCCACCCCGUUAAGGUAUUAAAAUGCAAAAUAGUAUCGUUACUUGUUGCAUGCUAUUACCCGUCCCAAUCCUAUCAGUCCCAGAGGCAUUUAGGACUACUAAUCCUAGAGGGGAGGGAGUUGGGGAUUUUCAGAGAUUAAGAAGGAUAAAAGUCUAAAGCGACAACCAAAACAUAUAAGCAAUUAGGGUGGAAACAAUAGCAGUUAAAGGCUCAAACAAACCUCCUCACUCAAAGGAGCAAACUAUCUAGCAUGACUUCAAAUACUGGUUAUAGUCUGAAGUAGAUUAAAAACAUUAUGACACGCUGAUUUAUCAUAUAUUUUUUAGAUGAGAAGUUCGAAUUAGUUCUUGUCUGGCUUUAGUUUAUCAAAAACUAACGCAGUUAAUUAAAUACCUAAUAGUUUGCCUAGUUGAGACCUAUAGGCAUGAUAUCUAACAAUGCGGAAGGUGUACUGAUUUAAAGAAGGAUUACUAGUUUUAUGAACAAUAGUUCUGCAGAUUUAAAUGACAUUGCUACUGAUUUUCAACUUAUAGAUGAAAUAGACGAAGUUGAUUCAACUGAUUACUCCUAUAGGCAUAAUUUCAAAGCGUUGUUGGUUCAAAACGAUUACAUAGAUGCAAGAGUCCUAUUUGCAUGGUAUCUAAAAUGAAAAUGAUUAUUAUUAAACCUAUGAUUGUUUGCCUAAUGGUAGAUGAACAUGAAGAAGACCUAUAGUUAUGAUUUCUAUAUGAAAGAAUGCAGAACUUAUAGGCAGGAUUUCUAACGAUAUGCAGGAUGCAGAACUUUAUAGGCAGGAUUUCUAAUGAUAUGUAGAAAUACAGACAACUUAUAGGUAGGAUUUCUAGUGUAUGCACAAGUGCAGAAAAACUAAUAGGCGGGAUUUCUAAAGAUGCAGAAAAAUUUAUAGGCAGGAUUUCUAAUGAUAUGCAGAAAUGCAGAUAAACCAACUUCCAGGAUCAGUGAUCUGUGAUUGACGAGUCAAAUCAAAUCACUGAAGAAUUAUUGAAGCUAGAAGAUCAGGACAAUGGUCAAGGUUGGAAGGUCCAAUAAUCAAGGAAGAAUCUUGUCGAAUCCAUUAUCUGACGAAGGAAAAGAUUUGAAGAGAAGCAACGGCUAGGUCCUUGUUGUUGGAAAGAAUCAAUUCUUUCCAAGGAUCAAAACCCUUGGGUUGACAAGCCUUUAGCAUCCAUCCUUGUAUAAAUUUACAGUGUAACACCAUCCUUAGUAUACUUUGAUCGAACCAAAAUAACUCUCUUUAUUCUACUGCAAACAAGCAUAGUAGCCUACAUAGAUCUGAUGUAUAACAAGUCAGGGAUAGAAAGAGGGCAUGCAACUGGUGAGGCAUUGUAUCAAACGAGUGCUAGAGAAACUGAGGGAUAUACAUCAAAUUUGUACUCAAAAGAAAACUUAUUUACUUGAAGAGAAAUCCCUUGAAACCCAAGGGGAUUGGAUUAAGAUUCACAUUGAAUCUGAACCACUAUAAAAAUUCUUGGUGUCUUUAGUUUCUGCAUUUACUUUUUGCUUAUUACCUUAAAUUAGUGUCUGCAAGAUUGCCACAUUUGGUCGACUACAUACGUUUUAAGUCAGCCUAUUAACGAUUAAUUUUAAUUAUUGUCAAUUCACCCCCCCCCCCCCUGUACUUUCAAUUGGUACCAGAGCUUGGCUCACACUUUUGCUUUUUGCUUAACAGGUUGUGAGAAAAAGAUCAUGGAAAAUCAGGUUAUCAUAGGAGCUCUGUUUCAGGAAGGAACUUCACAAGUAAGACCAUCGUACUUCAAUUGACAAUACUUCUCCCCACUGGAAAAUCCUAAUGGAAAUCUUCACCAAAGCACAUGACGCCAAAGUGUGAAGAUUUAUCAAGAAGGAAAACUACCCAUUGCCUGCCAGCACUCUCACUGACCCUGAUGAUAUAGACUCAUACUCAAAGGAGAAACUGGAAGUUGUACAGAUAAACCACAAGGCAAGAAAUAUGCUUCACAAUGCAAUAAGUGGUGAAGAAUAUGAGAAGAUAUCUAGUUGUGAUAUAACCAAAGAUAUGUGGGACAAACUCGAGGUUAUCUAUGAAGGUACCAUCACGGUGAAGGAAACCCACAUCAAUAUAAUAGUUUACGACUAUGAACUAUUCUCAAUGAAGGAAGGAGAAUCCAUUGAAGAAAUGUUUGCCCGGUUCAGUAAGAUAACUAGUUCCUUAAAAGCUUUUGGCAAACCAUACACCAGUGGUGAUUAGGUUAGGAAAAUUCUCAGAAGUCUACCAAGCACUUGGCAGACUAAAUCUCAAGAUCUUAACAAGUUAUCAUAUGAUGAACUACGAGCAGAGCUCAUUGCUUUCGAAAGAACACAUCUGAAGAAGACAAAUCAAGAGGAGAAAAAGAAAAUUGUUGCAUUCAAAACUACUACUAAAUCAACUUAAAAUGAAAUUGAUGAUCUUGAAGCCCUAAAAGAAGAAAUUGCAAUGAUGUACAGAAACAUGGAUAGAUUGAUGAGAAGAUAUAGAAAUAAAAAAGAAAGGAAGAUUUCCACCAAGAAGAUCUAGGCAAUACAUAUACAAUGAACAAGACAAGAACGAUGGAAAAUGCUACGAAUGUGGAAAGUUUGGGCGCAUCUAAGUGGAGUGUCCAGAACUGAAAAGAAAGAUCUCCAGAGGGUUUAACAAGAGCAGAUCAUUUAGAAGCUAGAGUGAUGAGGAUGACUCAGACCAUGACGAAAUAGCAAAUUUCUACUUCAUGACAAUUCUAGAAAACGAGAUCAACAAAACUUCAGGAUGCUGGACAGAUGAAGAUGAUUCAUACAAUGAAAAUUGUUUUAUGGCAAAAGGAGAAAUUAGUGAGGUAAGAUCUUGACUGAAAGAUGUAAUGAAUUGCAAGACAUUCUUGAUUCCACCUUAAAAGAGACUCAAAAAAUGAUGAAUGAACUUAAGAGACUCACUAGGUAAAUCAAAGGCUGGAAAAUCAAACAUGAAGUAUGUGAAAUUGAAAAAGACGUAAUUCAAGAGGAGUUUGAGGAAUUGCAAAUGCAGCGUAACAGCUUGCGCAAAUCCACGAGUCACAUCUCUAUUAGGUCAAAUCAGACAAUUUACAAGUCAACUGGAAAAGAACCAAUCAAAACUAAAUCGACCAGUCGAUCGGACCAGUCGACUUACAAGUCAACUAGAAAGGAAUCAGCUAAUCUCAUGACAGCAAUUCCAACUCUUAUGAAAGACCUGAAAACAGGUCUGGGGCUAAAUGUCAUUACAGAAAUAGAAGUGGGCAUAAAUACUCUGGUUUUCAUUUUCGUAAAUCUCAUAUGUCUUGAUGGGGUUGGAAACCUAAGAAUUCCAAACCCAGUAACACUAACUCACCAGGACCCAAGCAAGCUUGGAUACCUAAAAGAAAGUAAUAAUUAUGUGUUGCAUGAACACCACAGAGUAAGCCGCAAAGGAAUAUUGUAUCUAGAUAGUGCGUGUUCCAGUCACAUGACAGGUGACAAAAACCUUUUUAAGGAAGUGACAAAGAUUGAUGGAGGAAGUGUCAAAUUUGGAGAUGAUUUAAGAGGCAAAAUAGUUGGCACUGGAACUAUUUCUUUCAAUAACAACUGUGACAUUACUGAAGUAUAUCUGGUUAAUGGAUUAAACUACAAUCUUCUCAGCAUAAGUUAACUCUGUGACUCAGGAUAUGAGGUAAAAUUUAAGAGAACUGGAUGUGCCAUCAAAGAUGAAUCAGGUACAAUAAUUCUUCAUGGAAAAAGGUACGGAAAUGUUUACAUACUUGAUGGAUUCGAAAAUAUAGAUGGUCACAUCUUCCUAACUUCUAUGUCUGAUGAUCCAUGGUUGUGGCACAGAAGACUAGGUCAUGCUAGCAUGCAUUUGAUUCAAAAAUCAUCCAAACAUGAUUUAGUUGUUUGGUUACCUAAACUGAAUUUUUCUAGAACUCAUAUUUGUGAUGCAUGUCAGAUGGGUAAGCAAACUAGAAAUUCUUUCAAAAACAAAAACAUAGUGUCUACUUCGAAACAAUUGGAAUUACUUCAUAUGGACUUAUUUGGACCUACUAGAACUGCUAGAAUAGGAGGCAAGAAAUAUGCUUUUGUUAUUGUUGAUGACUUUUCACGUUUCACCUGGGUGAUUUUCCUGUCUUAUAAAGAUGAAGCCUUAAGAAACUUGAAGUUUUCUGGAAAAGGAUUGAAAGAGAAAAUGGGUUAUCUGAUCUCUAUAAUCCAAAGUGAUCAUGGAGGCGAGUUUGAGAGCAAGGCUUUUGAAUAUUUUUGUAACGAUCAAGGUUACACUCACAAUUUCUAUGCUCUGCGCUCACCACAGCAAAAUGGAGUUGUGGAAUGAAAGAACAGAACACUUCAAGACAUGGCAAGAACCAUGCUAUUAGAACACUCUCUGUCAAAUCAUUUCUGGGCUGAACGUGUGAGUAUUGCAUGUCACAUUCUCAAAUGUUGUCUUAUAAGGCCCAUUCUGAAAAAGAUCCAUAUGAACUAUGGAAAGGUAAAGCAAGUGCUUCACUCAUAACAAUGAUAAGGACAAUCUUGAAAAUUUUGAUCCUAGAAGUGACGAAGGUAUUCUUCUUGGUUAUUCUUUAAAUAGCAGAUCAUUUAGAGUCUUUAAUAAACAUACUUUGUGUGUAGAAGAAUCUCUUCAUGUUAUAUCCAAUGAAAAUAAUCCCUUGGUCGAGAAAGGAAUUAAUGCAGGUGACGAAGAUCAAACUCAAGAAGUUUAGAACAAAAGAAAAUCACAUGAGUCAACUAAUACCGCAGAUGUGAUUCAGUCGACUGACCAAGUUAGCAAUAACACUCUAGAAUAACGUACGGAGUCAAUUACAAGAACUGUUCGACUAAAUGAAUGGAGGAGCGGAACUGAAUAUCCACAGAUUUAUAUCACAGGGGAUCCAAACGAAGGAACGAAAACCAAGGCUUCCCUAAAAAAGGAAAGCAAAUAUUGCUUUGAUCUCUCAAAUAGAGCCAAAAAGGUAGAGGAAGCAUUGAAAGAUUCAAGCUGGGUGAAAGCCAUGCAAGAAGAACUAGAUAAAUUCAGCAAGAAUCAAGUGUGGAAGUUAAUACCCAAACCUAAAAAUGUAUCCGUCAUCGGAACAAAAUGGGUAUUCAAGAAUAAAUUGAACGAGUAAGGACAAGUCAUAAGUAACAAGGCCAGAUUAGUUUCUCAAGGCUAUUCACAACAAGAAGGAGUCGACUAGGAUGAAACCUUUGCCCAGUAGCUCGACUAGAGUCUAUACGAAUCUUGUUAUCUUACGCAUCAUUCAAGGGAUUCAGGCUAUUUCAAAUGAAUGUCAAAAAGUAUUUUUCUGAAUGGAUUCAUCGAAGAGGAAGUUUUUGUAAAACAACCUCCAGGCUUUGAAGACUCAAAGUUCCCUUAUCAUGUGUACAAGCUUACUAACUCCCUAUACGAACUGAAACAGGCUUCACGUGCUUGGUAUGAUAGGUUAAGUACUUUCGUUGUUGAUCAUGGGUUCACUAGAGGUAAAAUUAAUACUACUCUAUUCAUUAAAUGAUCAACAGAAUGUAAUCUUAUCAUUCAAAUUUAUGUUGAUGACAUUAUCUUUGGUAGUGCUAAUUCUCUUAUGUACAAGGAAUUUGCAAACCUCAUGCAAAGUGACUUCCAAAUGAACAUGAGGGGUGAACUCAUAUUUUUCCUUGGGCUUCAAAUUUAUCAAACCGAAGAAGGAACCUUCAUUUGUUAAACAAAAUAUAAAAAGGAGCUUAUCCAAAAAUUUGGCAUGAGCAAUGCAAAAUCAAUUGGCACUCCUAUGAGUACGGCUACAAAUUUGGAUAAGGACGAACAUGGUACUCCAGUUGAUGAAGCCAAAUACAGAGGAAUGAUAGGAUCACUACUGUAUCUGACCACAAGUUGACCAGAUAUUAUGUUCACCAUUUGUGAAUCUGUCGGGCUUCACUCAGCUCCCAAGGAGUCACAUCUGACUACUGUAAAAAGAAUUAUUCGAUACCUUAUUGGCACAGUAUCUCAUGGCUUAUGGUAUCCUCGCUCUAACUCGUUUAAAUUAGAUGGUUUCUCAGAUGCAAAUUUAGCAGGUGAUAAAGAAGACAGGAAAAGCACGAGUGGCACUUGUCAAUUACUAGGAAUGCCUUUAAUAUCUUGGAACAGUAAAAAGCAAGCAUCAGUCGCCUUGUCCACUACUGAAGCUGAGUAUAUUGCCAUUGGUCAAUGUUGUGCAUGACUCCUGUGGAUGUCUCAUCAAUUGGGUGACUAUGAACUUUUUUUAAACCUACACAAAUCUUUUGUGAUAUUUUAAGUGUAAUUUGUCUCUCAAAAAAUCAUGUGCAUCACUCUAGAGCACAUAGAAAUUAAACAUCAUUUUAUUAGAAAUCAUGUUCUUAAAGAUGACAUAGAAUUAGUUUUUGUUGGCACUUCUGCCCAAUUAGCUGAUAUUUUUACUAAAGCGUUGUUGGAAGAACGAUUUUGCUCCAUGAGAAAAUCACUUGGAUAAUUUGUUUUUCAAAAAACUCUUAGGACCUAAUUGUUAUUUUUCAAAAACUUGUCAUAAUUACUCCUUUCAGCCAUUAAUUAUGGAGUCGGUCUCUUCCCUCUCUUUUUAAUUCUGUUUCACAUUAGUUUGCAGUCGAAGUUUGAAAGCCAAUCAUCACAUCGCUUCAACUCACACCCUUUCCUUUUUCUGUACUCAACCGACAAAUCUUUUCUCUUUAAGAUAAGCCUUUUCGGGUCACUCUCAUCUCCAUCAUCUCUCUUCAUCCUGUAACAACCUUCCUUUCUCACAUGGCGAAGUCCUACAAAACCUCUUCUGCUUCCACCAGAAACAGCACUCGCUCGAAGGCAAAACCCUCUUCUGCGCCUCCUGAGCAAGUAUACUCAGGGUCUUUCGUUCAAAGGGUUGUGCCUCUUCUCAAGAAGCAUACUCUGAACACUCUCAACUCAUAGGAGAAAAAUCCUAUGGUAAGCGUCCCAUGGAGGAUCCUCCUGCCUCUUCCACUCCAAAGAAAUCAAAGUUCGAUUUCUCUACUUCACUCGAUUCCGACCUAAAUUUCUAGGAUACCCGAAAUAGGGAUUUUUUUUAUCUCUCUCAAGGACAAUCCCAUCACCCAUGGAAUAGUUGUGGAUCUUGAUGAUAUGGAGUCUCUCAACUGCAGCGUAAAAGAUCUUUUUGUGUAUCAAUGGUGGGAAAAAUUGCUCUCUAUUUCUUCGCCUAAAGUGUAUGAGCCCCUAGUCCGUAUGUUUUAUGCUAAUCUUUGUUCUAGUAAACCUGAUAGGAUUGAAACUCUUGUUCUUGGUAAACGCAUUGUUCUUGACUGUGGUUUGUUUGAUUCUAUUGUUCUCUGUCGCUGCUCUGGUUUCCCCAUUCUCUUUAAGAAUGUCUGGCCUGAGGACUUUGAAAUUACCUUUGACCAGGCCAAACAGUGCAUUGCUGAAAAUCCCUCUGAAAACCCUUCCCAAUUAAUUGGGGCCUAGUGAUGUGAGUUUUGAAACUAGGGUUCUUGCCCACAUUGUUGCAACCACUCUUCUCCCCAGAACUGGUUCCUUCUCAAUCCUCUCUCAAAGGAACACCUUCUUUGUCUAUUGUCUUAUCUCCAAACUCAAAAUCAAGAUGUCCUCCUAGGUCAUAAAUUUUAUGAUUGUGAGUGCUGAAGAUUCAACCAGUUUACCAUUUGGUAUGGCCAUCACCGACAUUCUGGAAGCUUAUCAAAUUCCGCUUUCUGACUACCCCUUUGUUCCUGUCUACAAGUCCUACAACUCUAGAGCCUUCUCUAGUAUAGGGUAUGUGAGUGUCAAGGGUACCUAGGUUAAGAAGGGUGAAAGAGAUGCAAAACAGACCCCUGCGGAAACCAAGCCUUCGUGUGCUGUUAAGCCCUCUCCCAUUACUUCUGACCUAAGUGAAAUGUGCAGCUCCAUUGAUUCCCAACUCUUAGACAUCAAGACUCUCUUGUCCGCCACUCAGUCAACUGUGGAUGCUAUUCAUGCUAUUUCGAAGGAAACAUGGUCAAAUGUGUCUAAAAUCAUGGUGGUUGUGCAAGGGUAAAGGAGAAAGUGGUUAAAGCCUUCAAGGAGGUGCAUGACAGGCUGGAUGGGAUGAGCAUUGCUGCAAACACAAGCUUUGAACAGUUGAAGGAGGCGAUCUGCAACACUUACUUACUUCCUGCGUCGUUGCUAUGGAUGUGUUUUACAGACAAUCUUUUUUAUGGUUUAAACUUGUUUUGGCUUUGGUUUGGGCUGUGCUCAUGGAUGUUUUUCUUCCUUUUCUGCCUAUGUGGAUAAUAUUUUUCGCCGAUACUUGCUAAUCCCUCUUUGCUGAUGUCAAAAAAGGGGAGAAUAUAUAUGUUCUUGGUUUAUUAACGAUAUAUGUGCAGGUUCAAGUCGACUAUGCAUACAUAGGGUACACUUAUGUACUCUAUUUUCGUUAUAUAUGUUAAGUCGACUAUGUUACAUGCAUAAAAGGUACUCUUUAUUCUUUGAACAGGUUAAAUCGACUGUGCUACAUGCAUAGACAGUACUUCAUAUAUAUUGCAUAGGAACCAGUCAACUAUGUUGCCCAUGCAUAGACAAUACUAUGCAGGUACAAGUCGACUGCACAUAUUGAGGGGGAGCUCAAGUCUAGUUGACUACACACAUUGAGGGGGAGCCAAGUCGGCUAGUAAUAAACAGUAAAGCACUGUUGUUUACUUCUUUACAUCUACGUAUAUUAUUUUGCUAUCACAAAAAAGGGGGAGAUUGUUAGAUCAUGUUUUAAUGAUGCAAUUAAUAUGCAUGUGCAAGAUUCAAAGAAGUAAAAAGGAAUUAUUGAAAUGGCUAUGCCGAACAAGGAAAUAAAUCAAUCAUAAGGGAAGGUGCUUGAAAUACUUACGGUGUACAAGAAAAGAUACAGUUCUACACCAGCAAAUCAGGAUUAGCUUCGUGAUUCUAGGAAAUCAAAUCAGCCAUAACAGAAUAAAGAUUCAACGUGAUUUGUGAUUGACGAGUCAGCUCAAAUCACUAAAGAAUUAUUGAAGUUAGAAGAUCCAGACAGUGGUCAAGGUUGGACAGUCCAAUAAUCAAGGAAGAAUCUUGUCGAAUCCAUUAUCUAACGAAGGAAAAGAUUUGAAUAGAAACAACAGCUAGCUCCUUAUUCUUGGAAAGAAUCAAUUCUUUCGAAGGAUCAAAACCCUUGGGUUGACAAGCCUUCACCAUUCAUCUUUGUAUAAAUUUACAAUGUAAAACUAUCCUUAGUAUACUUUGAUCGAACCAAAAUAACACUCUUCAUUCUACUGCAAACAAGCAUAGUAGCCUACAUAGAUCUGUUGUGUAACAAGCCAGGGAUAGAAAGAGGGCAUACAACUGCUGAGGCACUGUAUCAAACGAGUGCUAGAGAAACUGAGCGACAUACAUCAAAUUUGUACUCGAAAGAAAACUCAUUUACUUGAAGAAAAAUCAUUUGCAACCCAAGGGUAUUGGAUUAUGAUUCACAUGGAAUCUGAACCAGUAUAAAAAUUCCUGGUGUCUUUAGUUUCUUCAUUUACUUUCUGCUUAUUACCUCGAAUUAGUAUAUCUGCAAGAUUGCCAUAUUUAGUCGACUACUUAAGUUUUAAGUCAACUUAUUAACAGUUAAUUUUAAUUAUUGACAAUUCACCCCCAUUGUACUUUCAAACUCUACGAACAUGAAUUACAAAAUGCCAGAUGCCCAAAGACCUUCGCGAAUGCGAGCCACUAGUCAUGAUCGCGAAGGAGUAAGCACCAUACAUCAGAAACAGUAGUCCAAAUAUGGCAAAAUGACCCGUAGCCCAUUCGAAACACACCCGAGGCCCCCACCAACCCAUCCAAUCGCAUCAACCGGUCCACCAUUUUAUCCAAACUUAUCCAAAUGCUCAAAAUGCCACAGAUAAUACUAAAACCACGAAUCGAUGAUCAAAAUCCUUCAUUUAACUUUCAAACCUUCAAACUUCGCCAAAUGCUUCUGAACCUCACUUAGUCAUUCUGGAUUACGACUAAACAUCACACUCAAGUUUCAAUCAAUAAAAUUAACCUAUCCAAGGUCCCGGAACAUCAUCCGAAGUCUGAUAACACCAAAGUACACUAUAAGUCAAACAUAGCAAAUUUCAAACCUUCAAAAAAGUAAACUUUCGUGGAUCAUCUGAUACUUAAUCCGAACAUAUGCCUAAGUCUAAAAUAACCUUACGAACCUAUAGGAACCUUCAAAUCCUUAUUUCGAUGUCGUUUUAUCAAAAGUCACACCUUGGUCAACUCAUUCAACUGAAGACUUCUGAAUUGAGAAUUAUUCUUCUAAAUCAACUCCGAACUUCUCAAAAAUCAAAACCAACUACAUGUGCAAGUCACUAUACAUGAAAUGAAGCUGCUCAAAGCCUCAAACUGUCGAACAACAUGCUAUAUCUCAAAGCGAUCACUAGUGUCAUUGCAUGACAAUUUUAUUAUCCUAGAAAUGCAAACAUGUUAACUAGCACUAAUUGUGUGUUAGUAGAUAAUCAUAGAUAUGUUUUCAUCAUGUUCAAACCGGUACAAAAAGUUGUACCGCAUCUAUACCAAAAGUCCAAAACAUCACUUGUAUCGGUAGAAAUUCCAACGAAUUGAGAUAACAAACUACAUAGUGUAUUUCAAAAAGAUUGAAAUCUAUUUCUUCUGUCAUAAUUUAUGUGCUAUACAUUUUAUUAGUUAAAAUAUAAUUUAUUUUAUUAAAAAUAAUUUAAUUUUAAAAUUUCUACUUUACGAGAUAAUUUGUUGUCACACACAUAUCUAUGAUUUAUUAUAGACUAAAAAUUUCAAAACUAUUCAUUUUCUUUAAACCUCUUCCUAAAUCAAACAUUACCAUAAACAUUGAGAUAUGAGAAUACUAUUCUUAGUAGUUCAAAUGGAAAUGAUAAAAGAUAUUAUUAAGUUUUACUCCCUCGUAUAGAAAAGUUGUUAUUCCUGCACUUAAGAAAUAUACGCAAAGGCAUUUUCAUCAUCUUUUCCCUUACGAGAAUGAAUGCAAGAAACAAAUACUCAAUAUAUGUGUUAGACCAAACAACUAAUCCAUGAUAAAAAAGAGAGCAUUUGACAUUGUACAAGGUAACAUUGAUUUAUAUUAAAGCUAGAAUGAUGGAGUGACACGUGGAACCGGAGGUGGACAGAAGAUAAAUCGAAUGAAAACCAAGACCUAGGACAACAUUUUCGGUUGGUACCGGAUAGAUCUCGAAGGGAACGCGGUCAACAGAAGCAAAUGAAUGUUUGUCACCAGAUGACAUUUAUUGAAGAAUAUUCCUGAGCAUUAAAUAUGCAGUCAUUGCAGAGAAUUUUGGCAUCCGUGGCUUGCCAUUAAAAAUUCAUCAAUGACCCCCUUAAUUGUUAUUUAAGAGGGGCUUGAUCUUAGAAUCUUGUUCCAUAGGUAUGAUUAUAAAUAGUGGCUUCAACAACCAUUGUAAUACACGAAAUCUCUAGCAAAACUUAUGCUAACUUUAUUCUCAAGCUAAAUAUACAACUUUAUUUUUUGUCUAAGUAUUGUUCUUAUCGAUGUCUUCGAAAGCCUUGCUCCUAGAACCAGGCUUGUUAUUUCUUUCAAUUUCAAUGCUAAGUCUUUUUUAUUUAUUUUUAUGCUAAGUCUUAUCAUUUUGGGAUCAAAUCAGUUUGCUUGUCUGCUUUCGAUAAACCACGCAAUAAAUUCAACUGUAUUAUUUUACGGGUAAACAGUUUGGCACCCACCGUGUGGAUUAGAUAGCUGCAUAUUGAGUUGAUCCUUGUGUCUGUUACUAACUUGUUUUAUUCGUUGUUUCAUAGAAAAAAUUAAAAAACAAAUGGAAGUUAAUGAUGCCAACAUACACACAAUGUUGAGGCACAAGAAAAUCUGCCUCAACAUAAGGAUUCAAUCAGUAACACCUGCAACGAGGGGGACAUAGCAACUCCGGUCCAUGGAAGGAAAUAUCUCCGACAUGUGUGGGAGACAACUCCUGAUGAUGUUGAGGAUGAGCAUGUUGCGAAAACGGUAAGGAUCUUGAGAGAGCAACGAAAGGCCAUCAUUGUCCAUCUCUCAAGGCAAGACCAUGUCGUGAUAGAACUAUAGCAGGCAUUGUUAGGAGCUUCCAACAAUGCGAAGGGAAGAGGCCCUAUUCCUCCCGGCACUCCCUCAAAUCAAACAACUCAAAGAGUUGAUAGAAACAUCCUGAGGGGUGAGUUCGACUUCGAUGGAGCCGGGGGUGAUGAGUAGCAGAUCCGGUAAUGACAAAGGCAAUGAUCCCUUCAAAGUCGAACUCAUAAUAUUGAUGAGGAAAAUGAACGAGCGGAUAGAUCAGAAUGCAAAAAAGUCCCAUGCUCGAAUGGAACAAAUUCUGGGCACACCACUAGUGUUGGAGGGCACAGACUCAAAGAAGUACACUCAAUUUCCGUUCAAACCGAUUGCAACACCAUAAUUGAUUCCAAAAUGGUCCUGAAUGCCAAACAUACCGAAAUAUGAUGGGACUUGAGACCCUCAGGAGCACAUCACAACUUAUAUAGUGGCAGUGGAAGGAAAUGACUUGGCCCAACAUGAGAUUUAGUUGGUCCUGCUAAAGAAAUUCAGAGAAACCCUCACGAAGGGUGCCUUGACAUGGUAUUCACUCAUACCUGAACAUACAAUAGAUUCUUUUUGAAGUGCUCGCAGAUUCUUUCAUCAAGGCCUAUGCCGGGUCCAGGAAGGUCCAAGCCCGAAAGGUGGAUAUAUUCAGAAUUUUGCACGGAGAGUCCAAAUUAUUGCAUGAGUUCUUGAUCAUGUUCUAGAAAGAGAGGAUGUUGCCGAUUGUGCCAGAUGAAUGGGCAACUGAGGCAUUGACUAAGGGGUUGAACCCGAUGAGCUUCAACGCAUUUUGAAAGCUGAAAGAAAUCAUGCUCGAAUUCUAAGCAACCACAUGGGUGGAUGUCUGUAACCAUUAUGAAUCAAAUAUAAGGAUAUAAGAUGAUCAGUUUGGGUUCUGGCAUCAAACAAGGGCCGGGAUUGAGAAAAGAACAGGGAUAAAUCUAAAGAUGAUCUUGAUGCAGAUUGGCUAUCUUCUAAGGGCCGAUUCUUUCGCUACGAGAGGGCAGAAGGACACAUUAGAAAAGGGUUUCGGUCAGAGGAUAGGUUCGCCCCUGAUAGAAGAACUGACAACGGCCGAAACAACAGGUCGUUGCAAGACAAAGAGGUAUCAAGUUCCUGAGAUUCCACUUAUCUAGGCUGUUAGAGUAUAAUUUUAAUAUUAGCAUAGUGGAGUUAGUAUUAGCAAUGAGAAACAUCCAGGAAGCACUGUUCCCGAGGUCGAUCAGAUUUGAUCCCAACUAGAAGGAUCCUAAUUUAUAGUGAAAAUAUCAUGGGACUCAUGUCCACUAAACUGGGACUGUAGACAUUUGCGCGAGGAGAUGUCAACGCUAUUGAAAAACGGCCAUCUUAGGGAAUUAUUAAGAGAUCGAGCCAAGAACAACUACAGUCACUGCCAAGACAAUGAGAAUCCUCGAAGACAAGGGAAGACCCUCCACGACUAACUAUCAACAUAGUUUUCGGGGGGAACAAGAUCAAUGGUGUAACUUUCUUGAUAGCCAUAAAUAAGAAGAUAUCAGUGACUCAUAGCAAGAGGCUACAUGAAGUCAAAGAAGACGACAUCACAUUCAUGGAAGUAGACGCCGAUGAACUUCUUCUACCGCACAACAAUUCCCUAGUAAUUUCUCUUAACAUUCCAGAUUUAAAGAUUAAACAUGUUUUGGUUAACCUACGAAGUUCAACCACUCAUUCAAUGGAGAGUGCUAGAACAAGCUAAACUAACCGGAAGCAUCAUUCAGACAACAAAGCUCCUCGCCGGGUUUAACUUAACAAGUGUGAAUCUGAUGCGAGAUAUUUCUGCCCAUGGAUGCCUAAGGGGUCACAAACACCACCGUAUUUGAAGUCGUGGAUGGCAACAUGGGCUACAAUAUAAUUCUCGGCAGACCAUGGCUACAAGAGAUGAUGGUCGUACCAUCGUAUAUCACCAAUUUCUAAAAUUCCUGACUCUAGAUGGAAUCAAACAAAUAAUAGGAUAUCAACAGGAAGCAGGGGAAAUAAAUGCGGUAUUCGUUUCCAGCAGUAAAGGGGAGUGUAACAACUCGAUCGGUCGUUUCAUGAGUUACCUCUCUAUUUCCUCCAUUUCUGUUUCUUUAUAUGUUGUUCAGCUGCAUUUCAUCGUAUCGCUUCCGUUGGUUUGGGUUUGGAGUGGUUUCGUAGAGAAAUGAGAUAUUUGAUCUCUUUUUGGGAAGCUUUAGUUGGAAAAGUCAACCAGAAAAUGAUUUAUGAGUAAAUGAUCUUGGAACUUGGUUUUUAUGGUUCAGAUAACUUCAUGAGGUGAUUUGGGACUUAUGAGGAUGAUUAGAAUAUAUCUUGGAGGUCUGUGCUAGAUUUAGUCUUGAAGGCGAAAUUGGAGUUUUGGUGUUCUCCAGUUGGAAGUGGAAUUUUGAUAUCGGGGUCGGAUUGGAAUUUUGAAAAUUGGAGUAUGUCGAAUGUAUCAUUUGGGACGUGUGUGAAAUAUUUUAGGUAUUUUGGAUGAAGUUUGACAGAAUUUUUAUCAAUGGUGGAAUUCAGAAGUUUUGGAAUCCUUAGGCUUGAAUAUGAAGGUGAUUUGGUGUUUUAGCGUUGUUUUGAGUGUUCUGAGGGUUGGUAUAAGAUUGAAUGGUGAUAUGUAACUUGUUGACUUGUUUGGUUGAGGUCCCGAGCCUCGAGAUGGAUUUGGAUGGUUGGUGGGAGAUUUGGAAUUUGAGUGGAGCUGAAAAAAUUUUGUGCUUUUGUUGUUUCCGCGCCUGCGGAUUGGGGACUGCAGGUGUGAUGAUUGCAGGUGCGUAGGGCUGACUGCAUGAGCAUAUUUAGUUGCAAGAGCGAAUGGAUAACUGCAUCUGCAGUCCUAGGGAGCAGGUGCGGAAGUUGGCCUCCUAAAGUGAAAAUCACAAAAGCGGGAAAAUAUCCACAAAAGCGUUAAUGCAGGUGCACUUAAGGGACCGCAGAUGCGGAAUCCCUAGGUCAGAAAACUAAGUUUCCCUUGGCUAUUUUCACCCUUGUUUCACCAUUUUUGAGACGGACUUGGAGCUUUUUGAGAGGAUUUGAAGAGGGGUUCAAGGGGUAAGUCUUGGAGGUAAGAUUUGUAAACUCAAUACUCGAUUCUAUGGUGAUUCCUAACUGAUUAGACAUGAAUUUAUUGGAAAUUAAGGGUUAAAAUUGGAGAAUUAGGGCUUGAAAUUGGAGAUCUUUCAUUGGGGAUUUGAGGGGCCAUUUGAGGUUUGAUUUUGAUAUUCUUGGUAUGUAUAGACUCGUGGGAGGAUAAGGAUUCUAGUGAUGUAAUUUUUAUCGAAUUUUGAGACGUGGGCUCGGGGGUCGGGUUUGGCCAAUUUGGGCAAUUUGAUGUAAUUUGAUUAUUUUUGCGUGGGCUUUAUUCCUUUAGCUUAUAUUGACGGCAUGAAUUUGGUUUUGGUUAGAUUCAAAUCAUUUGGAGGCCGAUUCGAGAGGCAAAGACAUCGCGGGCUAGAGUUUGGACCGAUUUGACAUACGUAAUGAUUGUAAAUGUUGUCCUUAGGGUAUGAAACCCCGGAUUUCACAUCUAUUUGCUACUUUGAGGUGACUCACACACUAGAUGACGUGCACGGGGCGGUGCAACAUUGGGGAUUGUGACCUGGUCCAUCCACUACGACUAUUCAGUCACGUAGUUGAUUGAAAACUAUUUGAUACUAUUGUGUUUUACUGGUUUCACAACUCAGCCCUAUUUACAAUGUUUUGAUACUUUAAUUAUUUUGGAUUGAGCAUCAUGUUUUACUGUUGCUCGAGUGGCUUGCAAGGUUUUUGACUGAGUGAGGUCGAAGGCCUGUAUUAUGAGGAUAUCAUGGGAUCGGGGUGUGCGCCACAACAUAUUGUACUGGCUUGUGAUAUAUGAGAGGCCGAGGGCCUAAUUUAUUAUGCCAUGAGAUGCCAUGUGUAGCGCUUGGGCUGUAAGAGCCCCCCCCCCCCCCNNNNNNNNNNNNNNNNNNNNNNNNNNNNNNNNNNNNNNNNNNNNNNNNNNNNNNNNNNNNNNNNNNNNNNNNNNNNNNNNNNNNNNNNNNNNNNNNNNNNNNNNNNNNNNNNNNNNNNNNNNNNNNNNNNNNNNNNNNNNNNNNNNNNNNNNNNNNNNNNNNNNNNNNNNNNNNNNNNNNNNNNNNNNNNNNNNNNNNNNNNNNNNNNNNNNNNNNNNNNNNNNNNNNNNNNNNNNNNNNNNNNNNNNNNNNNNNNNNNNNNNNNNNNNNNNNNNNNNNNNNNNNNNNNNNNNNNNNNNNNNNNNNNNNNNNNNNNNNNNNNNNNNNNNNNNNNNNNNNNNNNNNNNNNNNNNNNNNNNNNNNNNNNNNNNNUAAGAGCCCCCCCCCCCCCCUCCUCGGAGUCUGAACAUCCCCAGUGAGCGCGGGUACCCAGUGUGAACGGUGUGAUGUAGCCCGUUGGGAUUUUCUUGAUUCAUAUUGUUGACCGAAGGGGCUGAUUAUGAGUGAUUGUGAGGUAGUUUGAUAGGCUGGUUCUGUUGAUAUUUUUCCCGAGGGGCGGUUUAUGGUACAUGUUUUGCCCCAGAGGCUGCUUACAUUUCUAUCAUUUUUACUUAUUUUUUUCAUCACUCGUUGGAAACUAUUGAAAGAUGUUAUAUAAGGAAAGGCUUUACUGAAACUAAGUUUGUUUUACAAGAUGAAUAAUUUCUGUAUUGUUUUUGGAAAUAUACUAUAUCUGGUGUGGUGCUAUGACGUGGAUUUAUCUAUUUUCUUACUACCCAGCUUUUAUUUACAUUUAUUACUUACUGAGUUGGUUACUCACAUUACUCAACGCACCUUGUGUGCUGAUCCAGAAGUCUCGAGACGCGAUAGUGAGUGCAUCAGCCUUCCAAUAGGUCUCUGGAGUUGGCUAGGUAGCUGCUUGGCAUUCACAGCCCUACACUUCUCCUUCUUACCUUACUCAACCUGUCUUAGUUUUUUAUAUUAGGACUAUGUUAGCCUUUCUUUUACUUAGACGGGUUUGUAGUUGCUCAUAACUGGUGACACCCUUAUGUCGGGCUUGUGUAUUUAUUCUGCACUGGUUAUUUAGAUUUAUAUUAUGAGAUUUUAUGUCAAUUAAUGGCUUAAGACUUGACUUUUAUAGAAUAAUGGCCUGAUUUAGAAAUUGUGUCGGCUAACCUAGUUUCACGAUAUGCGCCAUCACAACCGGGCUAAUUUUAGGGACUUUCAUCUAUUGCAUCACCCUUGACCAAAUUGACUCGAAAGGGCGCGCCUUUCAUAUGUUCGGAUGAGUGUGAGACGAGCUUUCAGAAGCUCAAGACUGCCUUGACAAUAGCAACAUUGUUAGUAUUUCCAUCAGCUUUAGGUUCAUAUACAUUGUAGUGUGAUGCUUAGAGAGUUGGUAUUGGGUAUGUGUUGAUGUAGAGGGGUAGAAUGAUUGUUUAUGCUUCUCAUUAGUUAAAGCCUCAUGAGAAGAACUACCCUGUUCAUAAUCUACAGUUGGCUGCCAUAGUUUAUGCGUUGAAGAUUUGGAGGCAUUAUCUUUAUGGUGUGUGAGGUGUUUACUUAUCAUCGUUGCCUCCAACACUUGUUCAAGCAGAAGGUUCUCAAUUUGACGCAGCGGAGAUGGUUGGAGCUUCUAAAUGACUAUGAUAUCACUAUUUUGUACAAUUCGGGGAAGGCCAAUGUAGUGGCCGAUGCUUUAAGUAGGAAGGCUGUGAGUAUGGGCAGUUUGGUAUAUAUUCCUGUUUGGGAGAAACCUCUUGCAGUUGAUGUCCAGGCAUUGGCCAAUCGAUUUGUGAGGUAAGAUAUUUCAGAGCCCAUUCAGGUCUUAGCUUGUGUGGUUUCUCGAUCUUCCUUGUUUGAUCGCAUCAGAGAGAGCUAGUAUGCUGAUCAUCAUUUGCUUGUCCUUGAGGAAAGAGUUCAGCACAAGGAUGCCAAAGAUGUAACUAUUGGUGAUGAUGGGGUAUUGAGGAUGCAGGGUCGGAUAUGUGUGCCGAAUGUAAAUGGGCUUCAGGAGUUGAUUCUGGAGGAGGCCCAUGGCUCGCGGUAUUCCAUCCAUCAAGGUGCUGCAAAGAUGUAUCAGGAUUUGAGACAACAUUAUUGGUGGAGAAGAAUAAAGAAAGAUAUUGUGAGAUUUGUAGCUUGGUAUCUCAAUUGUCAGCAGGUGAAAUAUGAGCAUCAGAGACCGGAUGGCUUGCUUCAGAAAAUGGAUGUUCCACAGUGAAAGUGGGAGCGAAUCACCAUGGACUUUGUAGUUGGACUCCCACGGACCUUGAAGAAGUUCGAUGCUAUUUGGGUGAUUGUGGAUCAUUUUACAGAGUCCGCACACUUCAUUCAUGUGUGUACUACCUAUUCUUCAAAGCGGUUAGAUGAGAUUUAUAUCCGAGAGAUUAUUCUAUUGUAUAGUGUCCCACUUUCCAUCAUUUCAGAUAGAGGUACGCAGUUCACUUUGCAGUUUUGGAGGUCCGUGCAUCGGGAGUUGGGUACUCAGGUUGAGUUAAGCAUAGCUUUUCACCCUCAGACGAAUGAGCAGUCGGAGCGCACUAUACAGAUAUUGGAGGACAUGUUCCGCGUGUGUGUCAUUGAUUCUUAGGGUCCGCGGGAUCAUUUUCUACCGCUCGCGAAGUUUGCUUAUAACAACAAUUAUCAGUCAAGUAUUCAGAUGGCUCCAUAUGAGGACUUAUAUGGGAGAUAUUGUAGAUCUCCAGUUGGUUGGUUUGAGCCGGGUGAGACUAGGCUUUUGGGGACAGACUUGGUGCAGGAUGGCUUGGAUAAGGUGAAGGUGAUUCAAAAGCGACUUCGUACAGCGUAGUCAAGACAAUAGAGUUAUGCCGACAAGAAGGUUCGUGAUGUGUUCUGCAUGGUUGAGGAGAAGGUUAUAUUGAAAGUUUCACCCACGAAGGGUGUUAAGAGAUUUGGGAGGAAUUAGGGGUGUUCAUCGGGCGGAUUGGGCGGCUUUUUACUCUUAACGGUUAUCGGCUUUUAAAUGUAUUCAUCAUUUAGCCACCCGAUAAGAUAUCGGGCGGAUUGGUGUCGGGUUAGCUCUUAUUGGGCGGUUACCGGGCGAUUUAUCGGUUUAAUACCUAAAGGCUCAAAUGUAUUCUGUCCCCGCACUACAUUAUCCAAUGUCCAGUUCCAUUUCGCAAGUGUGUUUGACGUUGAGUAGUUAUACUAAGAUCAUUAGCUUUGCAAGCUUUAGUUUAAGAACUGCAGAGCUUUAUGCCAUUUAUUCUUCUAAUAAGCUACUGAGAAUUUAAUUAGUUGAAACUCAUUGUUCCUGAAGAAUCUAUUAGAGCUAAUAAUCUAAAUUGGCAUUGUCUCCCUAUAUAAUGAAGACAUUUGUGAUUCACAUUUCAUCAAUACUGUUUCAUCCGUUUUUCUUUUAUCACAUUUAUAUGAGUACACGCACCCUUUAUAAGAAUUUUUUGAUUAAUUCGUGGUAAGUUGAUGCUAAUGGUUUCAAUAAUCUAAUCAUACAAUUACUACAUAUUUUAAGAUAUAUUAGGCCCCUUAGCAUUUUCUAGUGAGAUUUUCUUUAUUAAAACCUGUUAUCAAUUCUCUAGUUUGUAGUUUCUUGUUAAUUUCUUUUUGACUCUUAAAUUUUGUUUUAUUUUGUUCUAUUAAUGUAGGAAAAAUCCAGAUGGAAGGCAAAGAAAUGGGAAUUUUCAGAAUAAUAUUGCUGAUGUUGUAGUGGAGUGCAGGGCAUUGUAUGACUUUCAAUUCAACAGUAGCACAAGAUGGGACAGGCAACUUCACAACAAUAACUGAUGCUGUAAAUGCAGCUCCUUCUCAGAGUGCAACACUAUUCUUUAUACUUGUCAAAACAGGCAUAAUAAAUUUAUGACACAAUUAUAUAUAUAUAUAUAUAUAUAUAUAUAUAUAUAUAUAUAUUCAUAACGGGUUAACGGAUUAUCCGUUAAGAAAAUUGAAUAAUCCGCCCCCAAACCGAUAAGCUGUUAUUAAAAAAAUUCAAUCCGUUCUCCGUCCGUUAAGCCGUUAAGCCGCUACCAUUAAGCCAUUAAGCUUCGGUUCGGUUCGAUUUUCGGUUUCGGAUUGGUUUUGAACACCCCUAAUUCGCAUAAUCUGUUUCGGAUCGGUUUUGAACACCCCUAGGAGGAAUGGUAAAUUGAGUCCCCGGUUCAUUGGGCCUUUUUGAGGUGCUUCGGAGGAUUAGGGAAGUGGCUUAUGAGCUGGCCUUUUGCCACCUAGCUUGUCGAGUGUGCAUCCAGUAUUCCAUGUUUUUAUGCUCCGGAAGUACAUUGGUGAUCUAUCUCAUCUUUUGGAUUUCAGCAAGGUUCAGUUAGACGGUAAUUUGACUUAUGAUGUGGAGCCAGUGGCUAUUUUGGGGCAUCAGUUUCGAAAGUUGAGAUUAAAGGGUAUAGCUUUACUGAAAAUACACCAGAAAGGUCGGACCGUGGAGGAGGCUACCUGGGAGACCGAGCGGGAAAUGCAAAGCAGAUAUCCUCAACUGUUAGAGGCUUCAUAUUUGUUUCUUGACUCAUUCGAGGACGAACGUUUAUUUAAGAGAGGCAGAUGUAACUCUCACACCUCCUUUUUACACAUAUACCCCGAAGGAUAAUGUCUAAGGGAGUUCUUUCAAUUAAAGUGACAUUAUUCGAAAUGAGAUUAUUUAUUUAUUUAGAGUCGCCACUUGGGAUAGGAUUGGUUUUUGGUGUCCCAAGUCAUCGUUUUAUCUUGAAUCGCAAAUCUAAAAAAAUUUCGACUUCCCGAGUGGAGUCUGCGAACCAAAAAUUCUGAAUAAGGAAUUCUGUUGACCCAAGGGAAGGUGUUAGGCACCCCCGGAUACCGUGGUUCUAGCACGGUCGCUUAAACUACUAUAAAUGGAUAAAUAUCUGAUUUUAAUACAUGUUUCAACUUAAAGUAUAAUUUUAAAGAUUAUUUACCGCUUUUAAUUAAAAAAUUUAAGAAGGUAAACGUCGUUUAAAAAUGUGCUUUUGGAUCACAUCACAUGAAAUGCACCCGGAUCCUCGACACAUUUAUAUCCAACGUUUUGGAAUUUGGAUUUGGGUCGCAUGAAAUGCACACCCAUAUUUAGGAAGGUAAAAUUAUUAAAACGUGCCUAAAGCGACUAACGUGUCAUUAUCUUUGAGUGAGGCAUGAAAUUCGUUAAACGGCACAUCCCGAAUAUUAAGUAUUUUAAUAUAAGUAUUUAAAGAAGGACACACAAUUUUGCGAUUUUUAUUUGGCGCGGCACGCCUCAGAUUAUUUUAAAAGAUUGUACUCAAUUAAAGCAAACUACGAAUGUUCGUUACUAAAUUGAAAUUAAGUAACCAACAAUAGCAGGUUGAUAGAUGAAGCAAAGAUCAAAAAUGUAAAAGAGAUACAAGUAAUAUUGCCAAAUCACAAAAUGUAAAUCCAACAUUAUCACAACUAAGGCAAGAAACACUUGAAUUUCAAUUUACAACGUGCCUGUAGUUUGUGAUAUGUGUCAAAUACUUCAAUUUGAGUCCAAUAUUUAACCAAUACCUUUUGCUAGCAUCCAGGAAGUCAAAAACCAAAAUUAAAUAAAAAAUUUGUGUAUAAUCAUGACAACUACUGAAACCCAAUCACAUAUGGCUUUGAAACAUAUUUGGCGCAUAUACUCCCAACCAUUAUAGAACCAAUUAAGAUUAUGAAUGUAUAUAAAAACGGAAAGACUCAAUUCAUAUUAACAAUAAAAGGGUCGUCAUCGUCCCAAAUUUAACACGAAAUCAACGCAAGCAAAAAAAAAAGAAUUAAGAGAGUAUGUGGCACCUUAAAACCGAGAUAAUCAGAGAGAACAAUAGCAAAAUGAAGGCUAACGAAAAUGUAGAGCUCAGCAAUGAAUCAGACAGUAGCGAAUCAGCCCAGAAAAACUCAGAGCACGACCUUCGAUGAACUCGGGACUCGCCGGAAAAUUCAAAUUACCCAAAAGGCCGUCGGAACUCGGACCUCUUGCUUUUCAUUUCAUCUCGCUUUUUAACCUUCAUGCAAUGUAUUCCUUUUCUAUUUUUUUGUUUUGUUUUCUGAUCGUUGAAGUAGAGAAAAGAAGCUGAAGAAACUAGCUCUUUUUGUUUGAGAAGAAAACGAAAAAAGGAGGAAAGUGGGGAGCACAAAUCCGUUGUUUCUCUAUUGUCUAGGGGUGUUCUUGUGUUAUGGGUUUUCAGAAAAAUGAAGUCGAAGAAGAAGAGUCGCCGUUUUUUGGGGAUCUUUUUGGAGAGGAGGGUUCUCUCAUCUGCUUCGAAAAAUCUGACUCGUGUCCUUUUUUUUUUUUUUUAUAUGAUUUAAUAUAGUCUUGUGUGGGGAGUAGUUUUUUUGGGA